UAAACACAUCGAUAAUUCAAUCUUUCAGGUUUGCUAUUUUGAUUGGCUAGAGCUUCAUUUAUCAGCUGCAUAGUUCAAAA
rnacentral:tRNA from 1 species